rnacentral:rRNA from 1 species
GACGAACGCUGGCUGCGGGCUUAACACAUGCAAGUCGAACGGAAAGGCCCUGCUUGUGUGCGAUGCUUGAGGGGCGAAGGGGUGAGGAACAGUAAAGUAAACUGCCCCUGACCUUGGGAUAGGUAUAGGACACUGGGAGUAAUACCGGAUAGGAGCGUCGGCUGCAUGGGGGGGGUUGGAAAGUUGCGGCGGUUGGGGAUGGACGCGCGGCUAUUCAGCUGGUUGGUCGGGUAGUGGCUUAACAAGGCUUUGACGGGUAGCCUGCCUGAGAGGGUGACCGGCCACAUUGCGACUGAGAUACGGCCCGGAGCCGUACGGGAGGCAGCAGUGGGGGAUUUUGCCCGAUGGGGGGAAGUCUCGUGCAGGAACGCCGCGUGCGGGAUGAUGGCCUUCUUGUUGGAGGCCGCUUUGUCCUGUGCCGGUGGGUGAGUGACGGUACUGGAUAAAGAAGCACCGGCUAACUCCGUG